GACGAACGCUGGCGGCGUGCCUAAUACAUGCAAGUCGAACGAGAGCGACCGGUGCUUGCACUGGUCAAUCUAGUGGCGAACGGGUGAGUAACACGUGGGUAACCUGCCCAUCAGAGGGGGAUAACAUUCGGAAACGGAUGCUAAAACCGCAUAGGUCUUCGAACCGCAUGGUUUGAAGAGGAAAAGAGGCGCAAGCUUCUGCUGAUGGAUGGACCCGCGGUGCAUUAGCUAGUUGGUGAGGUAACGGCUCACCAAGGCCGUGAUGCAUAGCCGACCUGAGAGGGUGAUCGGCCACAUUGGGACUGAGACACGGCCCAAACUCCUACGGGAGGCAGCAGUAGGGAAUCUUCCGCAAUGGACGCAAGUCUGACGGAGCAACGCCGCGUGAGUGAAGAAGGUUUUCGGAUCGUAAAACUCUGUUGUUAGAGA
rnacentral:rRNA from 1 species